rnacentral:rRNA from 1 species
AAAGCCUGAUCCAGCCACGCCGCGUGAGUGAUGAAGGCCUUCGGGUCGUAAAGCUCUGUGGGGAGGACGAAUAACGCCGUGAAGAACGGCGCUUGACGGUACCUCCUUAGCAAGCACCGGCUAACUCCGUGCCAGCAGCCGCGGUAAUACGGAGGGUGCAAGCGUUGUUCGGAAUUACUGGGCGUAAAGCGCGUGUAGGCGGUCGAGUAAGUCAGAUGUGAAAGCCUUCCGCUUAACGGAAGAAGUGCAUUUGAAACUACUCGGCUGGAGUACGGGAGAGGAGAGUGGAAUUCCCGGUGUAGAGGUGAAAUUCGUAGAUAUCGGGAGGAACACCAGUGGCGAAAGCGGCUCUCUGGUCCGAUACUGCCGCUGAUACGCGAAAGCGUGGGGAGCAAACAGGAUUAGAUACCCUGGUAGUCCACGCCGUAAACGAUGGACACUAGGUGUGGGAGGUAUUGACCCCUUCCGUGCCGAAGCUAACGCAUUAAGUGUCCCGCCUGGGGAGUACGACCGCAAGGUUA